GCAUCUAAGGAGAAGAAGAACAAGGAACUGGAAUCAGAGCGUGGCAAGCUGCGUGAGACAAUUGCAUCUAAGGAGAAGAAGAACAAGGAACUGGAAUCAG